rnacentral:lncRNA from 1 species
AGGAGGAAUGAUAUCUCCUAUAUCAAUAAGCUCAACUUACCCCAAGUCUUCUUUCGGAUCAUAAAAAAUUAGUAAGUACAGAUAAGCUGAGGGUUUGUUGAGCUUUAUGUCAUCCAACUCCAUCUUUGUUUAGUGCUGCUCUAUGCUUUUAUUUUUAUCUUUAUCUUUGAUCUUGAGCUACAAGAUACGUAUUUUCUUGCCCUACAUUCUCUUUAUCUAUAGUUGAGCAAUGGUUUGCACAACUAUCUCUUGUACACCAUGCGGAGGUUGCAG